AGAGUUUGAUCCUGGCUCAGGAUGAACGCUAGCGGCAGGCUUAACACAUGCAAGUCGAGGGGCAGCGCGGGAUAGCAAUAUCCUGGCGGCGACCGGCGGAAGGGUGCGUAACGCGUGAGCGACAUGCCCGUUGCCCGGGGACAACCGGUGGAAACGCCGACUAAUCCCCGAUGGGAUAUUGUGCCGCAUGGCACGAUAUUGAAAGUUACGGCGGCGACGGAUUGGCUCGCGUCCGAUUAGCUUGUUGGCGGGGUAACGGCCCACCAAGGCUACGAUCGGUAGGGGUUCUGAGAGGAAGGUCCCCCACAAUGGAACUGAGACACGGUCCAUACUCCUACGGGAGGCAGCAGUGAGGAAUAUUGGUCAAUGGGCGGAAGCCUGAACCAGCCAUGCCGCGUGCGGGAAGGAGGCCCUAUGGGCUGUGAACCGCUUUUGCCUGGGGGCAAUAAGGGCGUCGCGCACGUCCGAUGAGAGUACCAGGGGAAUAAGCAUCGGCUAACUCCGUGCCAGCAGCCGCGGUAAUACGGGGGAUGCGAGCGUUAUCCGGAUUCAUUGGGUUUAAAGGGUGCGUAGGCUGUGCGUCAAGUCAGGGGUGAAAUUCCGGGGCUCAACUCCGGGGCUGCCCUUGAUACUGUCGCGCUGGAGUGCGGAUGCCGCCGGAGGAAUGAGUGGUGUAGCGGUGAAAUGCUUAGAUAUCACUCAGAACACCGAUUGCGAAGGCAUCUGGCGAAUCCGUAACUGACGCUGAGGCACGAAAGCGUGGGGAUAGAACAGGAUUAGAUACCCUGGUAUUCCACGCCGUAAACGAUGAUGGCUAACCGCCGGCGACACACUGUCGGUGGCCAAGCGAAAGCGAUAAGCCAUCCACCUGGGGAGUACGUCGGCAACGAUGAAACUCAAAGGAAUUGACGGGGGCCCGCACAAGCGGAGGAACAUGUGGUUUAAUUCGAUGAUACGCGAGGAACCUUACCCGGGCUCGAACGGCGCCUGAACCACCC
rnacentral:rRNA from 1 species